rfam:Triticum aestivum genome assembly, contig: Triticum_aestivum_CS42_TGACv1_scaffold_643766_T_7AS-0.066440_1AL-0.037929
CUUGUACUCCCUCCGUCCGAAAAUACUUGUCAUUGAAAUGGAUGUAUCUAUAUGUAUUUUAGUUCUAGACACAUCCAUUUUGAUGACAAGUAAUUUCGGAUAGAGGUGGUACUUG